GAGGGUUUGGGUUCAUUGGUUGGUGAGAGCUCCUGGUCUUGCUGAGCAAGGCCUUCCUUUUAUUCUUUGCCUUUUCACCAUUCAAUAAAACUAUAGAAGAUUACAUGCUCUUCACUCAUCAACCUUUUCCUGACUUCUUUGAUUAAUUUGCGGUUGAUGAGCUGGGGUCUAUUGGAGAUGUGAUAAUGCUCAUUUGAAAACUUCUUCUCCAAUAGAUUAAGGUUGCUCUUUCCGGCAAAAUGUUAAUGGACACAUACCCAAGGGAAUAGCAAGAUUGAAAUAUGGGUUUUGUUGUCCAUACCUUUUUUUCUGAUUUUAUUUUUUUUAUUUUCUUCUAUGCUAAUCAAGAUGAUAUAUGAUUUAAGAUUAUUUAGCAUAAAUUGUGUCUAUUGUGUUUUUUAUUGUUGUUGCAAUCUAGCUGGUUCAAGGCAAAGAUAACUUGUAACAAAAGAUAAAUAAAUAUUACUACUCACAAGAUGGACUUUUUUGUGCAAAGUUAUCAUCUGCCUUGAUCCAUCCUCGGUGUGAACUUAUCUAUUGACUUUCCCAUAUUUAAUUCAAAAUUUCCCUGCAGGGGUUAGUCUGACAAAAUAUCCAGUAUCCACUACAACAUAUUAUCGGCUCAAAAAUCAACCUAGACACCACGUCUAAUUUGAUUAAAGAAGGCAUUUUAACCACGUCUAAUUAAAAGCCUUUGAUAGCAAGAUCAUCACUCCUAAACUAGGCACCAUACUUUAUUUAAGAGAUAAAUGAAACUACUCCAAACCUAAACAUAUACUAUAGCAAACAAAGGUGACAUGAAAGAUUAUAGAGAUUUAUUCAAAUAGAGAUAAAAUAGCAUGAUCAUGGUGAGUUUUUUUAUAUAAUGCAUGUGAGAUGAAUAUAUGAAAUGGAACAAGUUAUGGCUGAGGAAAUUUCAACUAAAUAGUGUGAACAUAUGGAUUAAUGCAAACAUGCAGUGGAAUAUAAAAGAUAACUACUCAUAAUUGUUGAAGUCCAUGAGCAAAACUUUCUCACCUUUAUUUGAUCAUACUUACCAUGACUCACAUUGUGGAAUUUGUGAGUGAUGCAACAUCUUUGUUCCCGUCACUUGAGAUAUGAAUUAAAGUCAUGUGACGUCGACCUCUUUCUCCAACAUUGGAUUUGAUAUGUUUCUUCUUAUUUUGUGGGGGCAUGCCGGAAGGUCAUAAACUGGUCAUUUAUUACCCUACAUAAGAUAUAAAAGUAGACAAACAAGGGUAAUCCUGCUUGAGCAGGGGUUAAUGGUUAUCUCGAUCACAUAAUUGAGUAUAAGUCUAUCAAUGUUCCUUAAUUGCCUAGUUACCUUCCCCGGCAACGGCACCAAAAAUGCUUGUUGGUAUAAAUUAACUACAUUCCUUCAAAUAAGAGUUAAGUAAGAUUAUCCGCAAGCGCACAGAUAUCGUACCAAUGUCACAUUUUACCUGGGGGUUUUAAAUAUCGUAUCCACAGCGAUGGUCUAUAUGUAGGACUUAUAACUAUAAUUUAUACUAUGGAAUUCUAUCUAGUGCAAACUCAUCUCUCGUGCAAACUGUGCAAACUCUAAUCUGGACCGCAGGAUGUUGAUCUAAGGGGGCGCAUGAGAGAGGUGGAAUGAGGGAUUUGUAAAAGUGUGAUUAAGAGCGGGCGGUUAAGUGCAAAAUUACCCAAUCUCUUAGCGCCCCUUGGAUCAACAUCCUGUGGUCCAGAUUAGAGUUUGCACAGUUUGCACAUGAGAUAAGUUUGCACUAGAUCCGUUGCCUU
rnacentral:lncRNA from 1 species